rnacentral:rRNA from 1 species
GGGCUUCAUAGUCUUGCAAUUGGAAUGAGUAGAUUUUAAAUCUCUUUACGAGUAUCAAUUGGAGGGCAAGUCUGGUGCCAGCAGCCGCGGUAAUUCCAGCUCCAAUAGCGUAUAUUAAAGUUGUUGCGGUUAAAAAGCUCGUAGUUGGAUUUCUGCCAAGAACGACCGUCCUACCUUCGGGUUUUGGACCGUGUUGAUCGAGGCAUUCUUCUAGAUUCUAUCUACUCUUAAUUGUUGUAGAAUUGAACUAGAACAUUUACUUUGAGGAAAUUAGAGCGUUUCAAGCAGGC